UACGUAGGGGGCUAGCGUUGUCCGGAAUCAUUGGGCGUAAAGCGCGUGUAGGCGGUUCGGUAAGUCCGCUGUGAAAGUCGGGGGCUCAACCCUCGAAAGCCGGUGGAUACUGUCGGACUAGAGUGCGGAAGAGGCGAGUGGAAUUCCUGGUGUAGCGGUGAAAUGCGUAGAUAUCUGGAGGAACACCGGUGGCGAAGGCGGCAUCCUGGACCGGCAUUGACGCUGAGGCGCGAAAGCUAGGGGAGCAAACGGG
rnacentral:rRNA from 1 species